rnacentral:rRNA from 1 species
AGUUGGUGGCGUGAGUUGUCUGGUUGAUUCCGUUAACGAACGAGACCUUGACUUACUAAAUAGCUGGCGGAAGAUAUAGCAUCAAAGCCGUAGGCCGGUAUUUUCGGAAGGAUCCGUUCCCCGUGAAUAGUUGUGCUUGCGGCUGCUUUUUUUCCGUAAAGUUUCUUAGAGGGACUAUUGGUAACAAGCCAAUGGAAGUUCGAGGCAAAAACAGGU